rnacentral:rRNA from 1 species
AGAGUUCGUAGGUGGUUGAAAAAGUUAGUGGUGAAAUCCCAGAGCUUAACUCUGGAACUGCCAUUAAAACUUUUCAGCUAGAGUAUGAUAGAGGAAAGCAGAAUUUCUAGUGUAGAGGUGAAAUUCGUAGAUAUUAGAAAGAAUACCAAUUGCGAAGGCAGCUUUCUGGAUCAUUACUGACACUGAGGAACGAAAGCAUGGGUAGCGAAGAGGAUUAGAUACCCUCGUAGUCCAUGCCGUAAACGAUGUGUGUUAGACGUUGGAAAUUUAUUUUCAGUGUCGCAGGGAAACCGAUAAACACACCGCCUGGGGAGUACGACCGCAAGGUUAAAACUCAAAUGAAUUGACGGGGACCCGCACAAGUAGUGGAGCAUGUGGUUUAAUUCGAAGAUACGCGCAGAACCUUACCAACACUUGACAUGUUCGUCGCGACUCUAAGAGAUUAGAGUUUUCGGUUCGGCCGGACGAAACACAGGUGCUGCAUGGCUGUCGUCAGCUCGUGUCGUGAGAUGUUGGGUUAAGUCCCGCAACGAGCGCAACCCUCACUUUUAGUUGCCAUCAUUAAGUUGGGCACUCUGAAGGAACUGCCAGUGAUAAGCUGGAGGAAGGUGGGGAUGACGUCAAGUCCUCAUGGCCCUUACGUGUUGGGCUACACACGUGCUACAAUGGUAUCUACAACAGGAAGCAAGACUGCGAAGUUAAGCAAAUCCCUAAAAGAUACCUCAGUUCGGAUUGCACUCUGCAACUCGAGUGCAUGAAGCUGGAAUUACUAGUAAUCGUGGAUCAGCGUGCCACGGUGAAUGCGUUCCCGGGUCUUGUACACACCGCCCGUCACACCAUGGGAGUUGGUUCUACCUUAAGGCAAGGUUUCAAACCCCUUGACCACCGGUAUAG